AACUAGGAUUCCCUUAGUAACGGCGAGUGAACCGGGAUGAGCUCAAAUUUGAAAUCUGGCGUCUUUCAGGCGUCCGAGUUGUAAUCUAUAGAGGCGUUUUCCGCGCCGGACCGCGUCCAAGUCUCUUGGAAUAGAGUAUCAAAGAGGGUGACAAUCCCGUACUUGACGCGACAACCGGUGCUCUGUGAUACGUUCUCAAUGAGUCGAGUUGUUUGGGAAUGCAGCUCUAAAUGGGUGGUAAAUUCCAUCUAAGGCUAAAUAUUGGCGAGAGACCGAUAGCGAACAAGUACCGUGAGGGAAAGAUGAAAAGCACUUUGGAAAGAGAGUUAAACAGCACGUGAAAUUGUUAAAAGGGAAACGAUUGAAGUCAGUCGUGUGGGAAGUAUUCAGCCGUCUCUGGCGGUGUAUUUGCUUCUCACGGGUCAACAUCAGUUUGAUCCGGUAGAAAAAGGCGGGAAGAAGGUGGCACCCUCGGGUGUGUUAUAGCUUCCUGUCAUAUGUGCCGGACCAGACUGAGGAACGCAGCUUGCAGCAAUGCCGGGGUUCGCCCACGUACAAGCUAGGAU
rnacentral:rRNA from 1 species